GAUGAACGCUGGCGGCGUGCUUAACACAUGCAAGUCGAACGGGAAACCUUUUAUUGAAGCUUCGGCAGAUUUAGCUGGUUUCUAGUGGCGGACGGGUGAGUAACGCGUGGGUAACCUGCCUUAUACAGGGGGAUAACAACCAGAAAUGGUUGCUAAUACCGCAUAAGCGCACAGGACCGCAUGGUCCUGUGUGAAAAACUCCGGUGGUAUAAGAUGGACCCGCGUUGGAUUAGCUAGUUGGCAGGGUAACGGCCUACCAAGGCGACGAUCCAUAGCCGGCCUGAGAGGGUGAGCGGCCACAUUGGGACUGAGACACGGCCCAGACUCCUACGGGAGGCAGCAGUGGGGAAUAUUGCACCAUGGGGGAAACCCUGAUGCAGCGACGCCGCGUGAAGGAAGAAGUAUCUCGGUAUGUAAACUUCUAUCAGCAGGGAAGAUAGUGACGGUACCUGACUAAGAAGCCCCGGCUAACUACGUG
rnacentral:rRNA from 1 species